GUUUUAAAUUUAGACUUGUGAGGCUCCUGGCCUGGAACCCUUCAUAGCUCCUGCCGCCCUCAGGUCGUCAGCGCACUUGCGACCCUCUCAAUCUGUAUCCCGCUCAGCUCCCCCCUGGGGCAAUUACCACGCCUUCCUCAAAGCCACGCUGGAUUCAUUCAUUCACUGACUCAACGACUAGUCCCUGAGUGACCGGUGUGUCUGCCGAGGGCUUCUGGGUUAGACAGUUUGCGCUUAGCCAACGUCCUCCGUAGGCCUCAGUCUUCUCAGCUGACCCUGAGAGUUACACUGUCCCCUUAGGAUUACGGGGGACUCGGUGUGAUAAAGCGCUGGGCACACAGUAGGCGCUUAAUAAAUGCUGACUUAACUAAUGACAUCCUCUAGGUUUGGGACGGGGCUAGAGCUGCAAGAGGAGGCUGAGAAGCAAGAGAAUCUGUGACAGUACCAGGGCUCCAGGGGCGUUGGGAUCCAGAGCGCAGCUGUCAGGUGAGUUCUCGGCUUCACCUCGGAGUUCUCCGCUCCGCGCCAGGGGAGGCGGCUUAGGAGCAAGUCGGGGGUGGAGAGGCGCCCAGGUAGGCCCGGCCCCUCCCCGCCCUGCCUGUCUUCCCACCUCCGACCCGACUGCUCUCCCA
rnacentral:lncRNA from 1 species